GCCUCCUUAGCUUAGUGGUAAAGCAGGGCUUUUGUAAAGCUCAGAUGCGGGUCCGAUUCCUGCAGGAGGCUCAA
rnacentral:tRNA from 1 species